GACGAACGCUGGCGACGUGCUUAACACAUGCAAGUCGAACGGAAAGGCCCCCAUCUUGGUGGGGGUGCUCGAGUGGCGAACGGGUGAGUAACACGUGGGUGAUCUGCCCUGUACUUCGGGAUAAGCUUGGGAAACUGGGUCUAAUACCGGAUAGGACCAUGGUUUAGUGUCUCAUGGUGGAAAGAUUAUUGUUUUGGUGCAGGAUGAGCUCGCGGCCUAUCAGCUUGUUGGUGGGGUAAUGGCCUACCAAGGCGUCGACGGGUAGCCGGCCUGAGAGGGUGGACGGCCGCAUUGGGACUGAGAUACGGCCCAGACUCCUACGGGAGGCAGCAGUGGGGAAUAUUGCACAAUGGGCGCAAGCCUGAUGCAGCGACGCCGCGUGGGGGAUGACGGCCGUCGGGUUGUAAACUCCUUUCGUUAGGGACGAAGCCGCACUUUUUUUGGGUGUGGUGACGGUACCUUUGUUAAGAAGCACCGGCUAACUACGUG
rnacentral:rRNA from 1 species